rnacentral:lncRNA from 10 species
CACGAAGAGUGACAAAGGUCAUGGUUGUGGUGGACACUUGGGCUCCAAAAGAGGCUCAGGAGGAGAGUUCAGGCCCUUUGUACCACAUAUCCCGUUUGAUUUCUAUUUGUGUGAAAUGGCCCUCCCCUGGGUCAAGCCAACACCUGAUGCAACUUCCUUCAGUGAGGCCUUCCUGAAGAGCAAUCAGGACCCAGCUCCUGAUUCUGCUGAGCAGGCCUCUUACUUUUCCCUGGUGACAAAAAUAAACAAUGUGAUUGACAAUCUGUGGCUCCAGGGACAUCUGAAGUGCAAAUUGAAGAAGUUGGAUAGGUGGGAUCCUAUAAAAAGAGAAUGGUCACUACAGGCCACAGUGCAGCUGCCCCGCUGGUAAUACACAAGAUUCUGCCAAGGCUGGAAGCUGUUGCUGCCCUGGGAAACAAAGUCGGGGGAAGCCUGAGAGCACAGGAUCCUUCUGAAGUUUUGACCAUGCCUACCAUGCUGACGAAACUGGCUUGGAAAUCAGUUCUUCUGAUGCUACAGUGAAGACUGUCAUUACAACAGUGCCACCCAGUCUUCCAAAACUGGACCCAGAACUCCGUUUGGAUAUCAAGGUAUUGCAGGGUGCCUUAGCAGCCAUUCGGCAUGCCCGCUGGUUCAAGGAAAAUGGCUCUCAGUUCACAGUUAAAGUUAUCAUCAGACUACUGAAGGACUUGAGGGUUUCGUUUUCCUGGCUUUGAGCCCCUCACACCCUGGAUCCUAGGCCUACUAAGUCAUUAUGCUGUGAUAACCCCAACAGACAGCCUUUGGCCCUGAACACUGCACAUAGGUGUUGCUUGCAGAUUCUAGGUGCAGGACUGUUCCUGCCAGGGUCCAUGGGUAUCACUGACCCCCGUGAGAGCGGCAACUUCAGAGUACACACAGUCAUGACCCUAGAACAGCAGGACAUAGUCUGCUACACAGCCCAGACUCUGGUCUGAAUCCUCUCACAUGGUGGCUUUAGGAAGAUCCUUGGCCAGGAGGGUGAUGCCAGACAUCUUACUUCUGAAAUAUCUACCUGGGAUGGAGUGAUAGUAACACCUUCAGAAAAGGCUUACAGUAGUCAUUAGAGAAAAAGGAAAGGGAGGAAGAAGAGAAGACAGAAGAACCACCUCAAGGAGAGGAAGAAGAAAGCAUGGAAACUCAAAAGUGA